rnacentral:rRNA from 1 species
CACGUAGGGCGCAAGCGUUGUCCGGAAUUAUUGGGCGUAAAGAGCUCGUAGGCGGUCUGUUGCGUCCGCUGUGAAAACCCGGGGCUUAACCCUGGGCUGGCAGUGGAUACGGACAGACUAGAGGUAGGUAGGGGAGAAUGGAAUUCCCGGUGUAGCGGUGAAGUGCGCAGAUAUCGGGAGGAACACCGGUGGCGAAGGCAGGUCUCUGGGCCGCAACUGACGCUGAGGAGCGAAAGCAUGGGGAGCGAACAGG